CACAAGAUAAUUGGAUUGAAAAUUCGGGAGACGUUGUCUUUGUAUUCCAUUAGCCUGGAGUGGAUUUCUCAUCACUCUCUGGCGUCUCACACACGCUGCAUCAGGCUGCAUUGAGGACGCUACUCCAGUGCCUUCGCCAUCACUACAGGCGUACUCCUGCGGCUGCUACAUCCAGUCCCUCGCCGGCGCUUUUCAUCAAAUAAUUACACAAGGCCCCGUAAGGAACUGACGACCUAGAAACUGAGAUUCUGUCAACUGGCUUCAAAGCAGUUUCAGCAGAGUUUUGGUGUUCUCAGUCUACCCUGUUUGCCUCUGAUGUAAUACAAUUCAAGUGCAAGUGUAACAUAUUGUCAUGGUGUGUGUAUGUUUGGGUGUACUUGGACUAAUGGUAUUUAGGGGACCUGUUCAUAGAACUACAUUGUGGGGACUCACCCCCCAUUUGAGGACAAUAGCCUUGUCCCCACAAAUUUAAACUUUUAUUUUAGGACUAAGACUUGCUUUUUUCAUGGUUAGAAAUAAGCUUAGAUUAAGGUUAGUUAAAGGUAGAGUCAGUCAUUCUAGGGAAAGAUUGUUGAUAGUUGAACUGAACAUCCAACAAAUACACCCCUCCCUUAGUGCUCCUUCAGAAGCUCCGCCCCCAAAAUUCAUGGACACGCAUUGCCAAAGCAAUAACCAAAAGAGAAAUAU